rnacentral:rRNA from 1 species
GACGAACGCUGGCGGCGUGCUUAACACAUGCAAGUCGAACGGAAAGGCCCUUCGGGGUACUCGAGUGGCGAACGGGUGAGUAACACGUGGGUGAUCUGCCCUGCACUUUGGGAUAAGCCUGGGAAACUGGGUCUAAUACCGAAUAGGACCACGCGCUUCAUGGUGUGUGGUGGCAAGCUUUUGCGGUGUGGGAUGGGCCUGCGGCCUAUCAGCUUGUUGGUGGGGUAUUGGCCUACCAAGGCGACGACGGGUAGCCGGCCUGAGAGGGUGACCGGCCACAAUGGGCCUGAGAUACGGCCCAGACUCCUACGGGAGGCAGCAGUGGGGAAUAUGGCACAAUGGGCGCAAGCCUGAUGCAGCGACGCCGCGUGAGGGAUGACGGCCUUCGGGUUGUAAACCUCUUUCAAUAGGGACGAAGCGCAAGUGACGGUACCUAUAGAAGAAGCACCGGCCAACUACGUG